rnacentral:misc_RNA from 1 species
GAUGAAGAACGUAGUGAAAUGCGAUACGUAAUGUGAAUUGCAGAAUUCAGUGAAUCAUCGAGUCUUUGAACGCACAUUGCGCCCCCUGGUAUUCCGGGGGGCAUGCCUGUCCGAGCGUCAUUGCUGCCCUCAAGCACGGCUUGUGUGUUGGGCCUCCGUCCUCCUGCCGGGGGACGGGCCCGAAAGGCAGCGGCGGCACCGCGUCCGGUCCUCGAGCGUAUGGGGCUUCGUCACCCGCUCUUGUAGGCCCGGCCGGCGCUUGCCGACACAUCAAUCUUUUUUCCAGGUUGACCUCGGAUCAGGUAGGGAUACCCGCUGAACUUAAGCAUAUCAAUAAGCGGAGGA